rnacentral:rRNA from 1 species
GACGAACGCUGGCGGCGUGCCUAAUACAUGCAAGUCGAACGCACAGUUUAUACCGUAGCUUGCUCCACCAUAGACUGUGAGUUGCGAACGGGUGAGUAACGCGUAGGUAACCUGCCUGGUAGCGGGGGAUAACUAUUGGAAACGAUAGCUAAUACCGCAUAAUAUUCAUUAUUGCAUGAUAAUUAAUUGAAAGGUGCAAUUGCACCACUACCAGAUGGACCUGCGUUGUAUUAGCUAGUAGGUGAGGUAACGGCUCACCUAGGCGACGAUACAUAGCCGACCUGAGAGGGUGAGCGGCCACACUGGGACUGAGACACGGCCCAGACUCCUACGGGAGGCAGCAGUAGGGAAUCUUCGGCAAUGGACGAAAGGCUGACCGAGCAACGCCGCGGGAGUGAAGAAGGGUUUCGGAUCGUAAAGCUCUGUUGUAAGAGAAGAACGGGUGUGAGAGUGGAAAGUUCACACUGUGACGGUAGCUUACCAGAAAGGGACGGCUAACUACGUG